GAUGGUCGGAGACUGAAAGGAGCCAUCCAAAGGAGCACAGAAACGGGGCUGGCUGUCGAAAUGCCCAGCCGGACCGUCCGUCAAGCCAGCCAUGAGUCCAUUGAGGACAGCAUGAACAGCUACGGAUCAGAGGGAAACUUGAAUUUCAGUGGAGUCCAUCUGGCAUCUGCUGGGCAGUUUAGUGACUUCCUGGGGAGCAUGGGCCCUGCACAAUUUGUUGGGCGUCAGACCUUGGCCACCACCUCGAUGGGGGAUGUGGAAAUUGGCUUGCAAGAGCGAAAUGGGCAGCUAGAAGUGGAUAUCAUUCAGGCUCGAGGACUGACACCAAAACCCGGCUCCAAAACACUGCCAGCUGCUUACAUCAAAGCUUACCUGCUAGAGAAUGGCGUGUGCAUUGCGAAAAAGAAGACAAAAGUGGCUCGCAAAUCAUUAGACCCUUUGUACAAUCAGGUGUUACUGUUUGCUGAGAGCCCCCAGGGCAAAGUAUUACAGAAAAUUGUAAUGUUCUGGUUAUUCGGAGCCUAGGGAAAGAAGCUGUCAGGAUUAGCCAGAGAUCACUAGUCACCGUCAUAACACAUCGUACUCAUCCUCUCCUCUUCAGAAGAUGGACUCGCUCUGGAGUCAGUCGUCACCUUUGUCUUGAGCCACAUAGGGCCACUCGGUCAUGUGCAGACCUCCUGCAUGCCUAAGCCCAUGACCCUCCCUACAUCUGUUGUUCCACCCACUGGUCUCUCCAUCGUGUUGUAAGUGUGAUUCAGCUUUUCCUGCUCGUCUGCCAGCUCUCUUUCAUUAGACCUUCCUCUGCGUCUGCAAGUCUUUCUCGGCAGUCUGUUCUGCUUCCCCUGCAUGCCACUCCAUGUGUGCCCCUUACGUCACCGGUCCCGCUUGCCAGCGCUCGGCUCCUGCCCUUUCUCCAGGUCAGGAGCCCUUCCUGCCCUUUUCCCACAGGCCACCUUUUGUUGUGUCCAAGGUCCGUUGCUGUGCCAGGACCAGGUUUUACGUGCAGGUGUUGGAGCUGCAGCUCCAGGGAUACUUUGUGCACACGCUGGUCCUGCCCAGCAGGUAGAACAGCAGAAUGGUGUCUCAUCCGCACAUGCAUUCACCUCUUCUCCGUGGGGGCGUGGCAGGAAAAGUCUGAUAACAUUAGGAGUUGUAAAACUGUGCUUAAAAAAAAAAAGUAAAAUCAUCAGCCAGAGCUUCACGUCACCUGUUGCUACUGUAAACCUUUCUGCUCUUCUCGAACUGUAGUAAAGCCCCGGGAAGUUGGAUGAGUAGAAAGAAGGAUUGAUCAGACUUGUGCUUCCCAAGCAAGUGUGCAAGUUGGAGGAUUAACUGUGCUCCCCCCUCUUGUUCCUAAGGUGAUAGUCUGGGGAAACUAUGGACGCAUGGAGCGCAAGCACUUCAUGGGAGUCGCCAGGGU